rnacentral:rRNA from 1 species
UGGGGAAUUUUCCGCAAUGGGCGAAAGCCUGACGGAGCAACGCCGCGUGAGGGAUGAAGGCCUCUGGGCUGUAAACCUCUUUUCUCAAGGAAGAAGAUACUGACGGUACUUGAGGAAUAAGCCACGGCUAAUUCCGUG